rnacentral:rRNA from 1 species
AGAGUUUGAUUCUGGCUCAGGAUGAACGCUAGCUACGGGCUUAACACAUGCAAGUCGAGGGGCAGCAUUGGAGUAGCAAUACUCAGAUGGCGACCGGCGCACGGGUGAGUAACACGUAUCCAACCUGCCGCUUACUCGGGGAUAGCCUUUCGAAAGAAAGAUUAAUACCCGAUGGUAUAAAGAGUUCGCAUGUUCUCUUUAUUAAAGAAUUUCGGUAAGCGAUGGGGAUGCGUUCCAUUAGAUUGUUGGCGGGGUAACGGCCCACCAAGUCUACGAUGGAUAGGGGUUCUGAGAGGAAGGUCCCCCACGUUGGAACUGAGACACGGUCCAAACUCCUACGGGAGGCAGCAGUGAGGAAUAUUGGUCAAUGGACGAGAGUCUGAACCAGCCAAGUAGCGUUGAAGGAUGACUGCCCUAUGGGUUGUAAACUUCUUUUAUAAGGGAAUAAAGUGAGGGACGUGUCCCUUUUUGUAUGUACCUUAUGAAUAAGGAUCGGCUAACUCCGUGCCAGCAGCAGC